CCUACGGGAGGCAGCAGUAGGGAAUAUUGCUCAAUGGGGGAAACCCUGAAGCAGCAACGCCGCGUGGAGGAUGAAGGUUUUCGGAUUGUAAACUCCUUUUGUUAGAGAAGAUAAUGACGGUAUCUAACGAAUAAGCCCCGGCUAACUCCGUGCCAGCCGCCGCGGUCAUACGGAGGGUGCAAGCGUUACUCGGAAUCACUGGGCGUAAAGAGCGCGUAGGCGGGAUAGCAAGUCAGAUGUGAAAUCCUAUGGCUUAACCAUAGAACUGCAUUUGAAACUGUUAUUCUAGAGUAUGGGAGAGGUAGGUGGAAUUCUUGGUGUAGGGGUAAAAUCCGUAGAGAUCAAGAGGAAUACUCAUUGCGAAGGCGACCUGCUAGAACAUAACUGACGCUGAUGCGCGAAAGCGUGGGGAGCAAACAGGAUUAGAUACCCGAGUAGUC
rnacentral:rRNA from 1 species